AUUGAACGCCGGCGGCAUGCCUUACACAUGCAAGUCGAACGGCAGCGGGGGAGAAGCUUGCUUUUCCUGCCGGCGAGUGGCGAACGGGUGAGUAAUACAUCGGAACGUGCCCUGUAGUGGGGGAUAACUAGUCGAAAGAUUAGCUAAUACCGCAUACGACCUGAGGAUGAAAGUGGGGGACCGCAAGGCCUCAUGCUAUAGGAGCGGCCGAUGUCUGAUUAGCUAGUUGGUGGGGUAAAGGCAUACCAAGGCGACGAUCAGUAGCUGGUCUGAGAGGACGAUCAGCCGCACUGGGACUGAGACACGGCCCAGACGCCUACGGGAGGCAGCAGUGGGGAAUUUUGGACAAUGGGCGAAAGCCUGAUCCAGCAAUGCCGCGUGUGUGAAGAAGGCCUUCGGGUUGUAAAGCACUUUUGUCCGGAAAGGAAUGGCUCUGGUUAAUACCUGGGGUCGAUGACGGUACCGGAAGAAUAAGGACCGGCUAACAACGUGCCAGCAGCCGCGGUAA
rnacentral:rRNA from 1 species